AUCCAGCUGACGAGUCCCAAAUAGAAUGAGAUGCGCAUCCCGUAU
rnacentral:hammerhead_ribozyme from 1 species